rnacentral:rRNA from 1 species
CCUACGGGGGGCUGCAGUGGGGAAUAUUGGACAAUUGGGGGAACCCUGAUCCAGCCAUGCCGCGUGUGUGAAGAAGGCCCUCGGGUUGUAAAGCACUUUCAGUGAGGAAGAACGCCUGGUGGUUAAUACCCAUCAGGAAAGACAUCACUCACAGAAGAAGCACCGGCUAACUCCGUGCCAGCAGCCGCGGUAAUACGGAGGGUGCGAGCGUUAAUCGGAAUUACUGGGCGUAAAGCGCGCGUAGGUGGCUUGAUAAGCCGGUUGUGAAAGCCCCGGGCUCAACCUGGGAACGGCAUCCGGAACUGUCAAGCUAGAGUGCAGGAGAGGAAGGUAGAAUUCCCGGUGUAGCGGUGAAAUGCGUAGAGAUCGGGAGGAAUACCAGUGGCGAAGGCGGCCUUCUGGACUGACACUGACACUGAGGUGCGAAAGCGUGGGUAGCAAACAGGAUUAGAUACCCCAGUAGUC